UGCAAGUAGAUUUAAAAAGCUCCAGGAGAGGACGGAGAAGCCUGCAGGUGAUAAAUACAUGAGGGGUCAGGAACCCUUCUAGGUCAUGGGUCACAGAAAUGAGGGGCAGCACAAGGCAGAGGUGUCCUGGGGCCUUACUAGUGAUCCUGGUCAUGCAUCUUUACUUGGCCAGCGGGCAGCUCUCUGUGGAGCAGAGCCCGGAAUGGCUGGAUGUCUCGGAGGGGCAGAAUGGCACCGUGACCUGCACUUACUCGGAAACCAUCAAUAGUUUACACUGGUACCGGCAGGCUCCCGGGGAGCGGCCCGUUUUCCUGCUGAUGCUGUUCGGCAAGGGGAGCGAGACAGAAGAACCGAAUUUCACUGCGGAUCACGAUCCGGGGCAGAAGCGGAGCUCCCUGCACAUCCGCGGCUGCCAGCUGGGGGACGCCGCCCGCUACCUCUGCGCCGUGGAGACACAGUGACACAAGGGGCAGCGCAGCCUGUACAAUAACUCUGGGUGUGACCUGGGAGGGGGCUGCGGGGCCCUGGGGGGGGGGGGGAGGCGCCGGGCGUU